rfam:Rattus norvegicus chromosome 4, whole genome shotgun sequence.
GGGGAUUUAGCUCAGUGGUAGAGCACUUGCCUAGGAAGCGCAAGGCCCUGCAAGGCCCUGGGUUCGGUCCCCAGCUCCG